rnacentral:rRNA from 1 species
UAGCAAUACUUGGUGGCGACCGGCGCACGGGUGAGUAACGCGUAUGCAACCUACCUAUCGAGAGGGGAAUAACCCGGCGAAAGUCGGACUAAUACCGCAUAAAACAGGGGCACCGCAUGGUGAUAUUUGUUAAAGAAAUUCGCUGAUAGAUGGGCAUGCGUUCCAUUAGGUAGUUGGUGAGGUAACGGCUCACCAAGCCGACGAUGGAUAGGGGAACUGAGAGGUUGGUCCCCCACACUGGUACUGAGACACGGACCAGACUCCUACGGGAGGCAGCAGUGAGGAAUAUUGGUCAAUGGGCGGGAGCCUGAACCAGCCAAGUCGCCGUGAAGGAAGAAGGAUCUAUGGUUCGUAAACUUCUUUUGCAGGGGAAUAAAGUGCAGGACGUGUCCUGUUUUGUAUGUACCCUGAGAAUAAGGAUCGGCUAACUCCGUGCCAGCCGCCGC